CAAGUUGUCAUCCCCCUGUUGGAGGUUUAUCACAUCCCUCUGUGUUGUCCAAGCCAAAACCUGAUACAGUCAACAGCAUGCAUCCCUCUGUGCUGUCCAAGCCAAAACCUGAUACAGUCAACAGCGCACUUGCCUUUUCUACUGCUGUUACGGGGACAAUUCAGGCUUCUGCAGCACAAUGUGAUGGUUCAAGGAGGCCACUAUUGAAUGAUGAGAGUCGUAAUACAAUACCAAGGGUGAAAAGUGAAAUGCCGAA
rnacentral:lncRNA from 1 species